rnacentral:sRNA from 1 species
AUUAUUUUCUGUUAAUUUAAUAAUAUAAGUUCUACAUCUCUCCUCUUUCUAUUGGUUACUAAGAAAAAAGAA